UGAUAAGUACCAACUUCAUAAAGUAUAACCUCAAUAAUAUGGUUUGAGGGUCUCUACCAGGAAUCCGUAAAAUCCUGAUUACUUAAAAAGUGCAUGCCGCG
rnacentral:ncRNA from 2 species